rnacentral:rRNA from 2 species
UUCGGGCAGAGCUACCAUGCAGUCGACGGCUCUUCGGAGAGCUUGCUCCCCGGGUGACGAGUGGUUCGACCUGGGAAUUGUCCGAAUCUACUCUGUCGAGCUUGUGCUCGUACCGAAACUUACGCUCGUACCGCAUACUUCCUACCGUUGAAAGCGGGCGCCCUUCGGGCCCUGCUCGAUUGAAUGAACCCAUGUCGGAUUAACUAGUUGGCGCGGUUCAGGCCCACCAAGAAGAACAUCCGUAGCUGGUCUGAGAGGAUGACCACCCCAACUGGAACUGAGACACGGUCCAGACUCCUACGCGAGGCCGCAGUGGGGAAUAUUGGACAGUGUGCGCAAGCCUGAUCCAGCCAUACCGCGUGUGUGAAGAAGGCCUUCGGGUUGUAAAGCCCUUUUGUUGGGAAAGAAAUCUCGCGGGCUAAUACCCGGUUGAAAUGACGGUACCCAAAGAAUAAGCACCGGCUAACUUCGUGCCAGCCGCCGGGGUAAUACA